UCCCUGGUGGUCCAGUGGCUAAGACUGGACUGCUUCCAAUUCAGAAGCCCAGGUUUGAUCCCUGGUCAGGGAA
rnacentral:tRNA from 1 species